rnacentral:lncRNA from 1 species
CAUGACAGCAAUGUUUGGUUAUGGUAAGUUUUCAUAUAAAACAAGUGGCAGGUUCGGGCUGCAAGAAGUGGCAGUGCUCAACGUAGUAUGGUGGUUGGAGAUUCGGGGCAAGAUCAGUACUUGAUUUCUGUCACCGGGAACUUCUUACGGGGCCUAUUUGGUGUACAAGUUCAAGGAGGACUUCUACUUUUUCGAAAAGAGAAGGUGAAAGUAGGAGUCGUAGGAGUCAGGGAAGCUGAAGAAGUGAAGUUGGCGGGGCGGAGAGUUGCAGAAUCAAGAAGAGGAUGUGUGUGGCUGUCCAGAGGGACGAUGAGUGGCUCUACAGAUGAGACCGAGUGGCGUAGGGUGAAACUCGGAGAGUUCAAGAACAAGGAAGAAGAAGACGAUCAAGUUGAGUUCUUUGUCAUGGAAGUUGAAAACGGUAAUCGACAAGGGCUGAGUUUUCAAUAGACGAUUGUUCCAUCAUGUUUACCAGUUAAGCGAAACAAUAAAUAGCUACAUUAUAGGAAUCUAAGAUGAUGAAUAAUAGACCAUCAAACUACAGAAACAAAUAACCAUGGCCUCUCUUUUCAAGCUAAGUAAAGCUCAGUUAUAUCAGAAGGAAGUAUCAGCUUUCUUCACAACAGCCAAAGCUGCAGAAAGAAACAACCAUGAAUAUGUACACAAACUACCCUUCUGCAUUGACAAUACCAUAGUAGCUAGAACAAGUGAUUCAACGAAGCUCCAACAAAAUCAAAUGUAAGAACAAGGAACCCCCUCAGAGAUCAUAGCACGAGUUCGAAAGAUCACGAGGCAGAUGAUGCUUAUAGUAAUUCAUACUACAGGUAAGACCAAAUAGACACCCAGAAAAACAGAUAUCCAGCAAUUGGAAAGGCAUGCAUAGCACGACCAUAAAUUCAUAAAAAGUUCAGCACUUUGACAAGGUUUCAGAUGUUGGAGCAUAUAAAGAAGCUACCAGUUGGGGGAAAUCGACAAUACCCACAAGCAAGCAAGCAGCAUUGACAAUAAUUCAACGUAUAUGUACACAAAAUACCCUGCUGCAUUGACAGUACCAGAGUAGGUAGAACAAGGGAUUCAACAAAGCUCAAACAAAAUCAAAUGCAGGAACAAGGAACGCCCUAAGAAAUCAUAACACAGCGACCAAAAGCUUAAAAGUUCAGCACCUUGCCCACAGUUGAAUGUUCUAUUGUUGUCAACUUUACUAUCAUUUGUUCUUUUUGUAUCAUCCUUCUUCGACACCCAUUAGCACUCUGCUGCUUCUGUUAUUGUCUGGCAUUUGUACGACAACUAUAGUCGUAUCAAAUCCAUUUGGUUUAUACAUAUAGUCAAAUCUUUUCGAAGGGAGAGGAAUCACCCUGCCUGCAAACACUGGUGGGAGUCUGUUCAUGGCAAUCGGCUUGGAGGCUGAUGCUAUGGUGGCCUCCCAGAAGUUGGUUCAUAAUGCUGGUAGAUGAUUUAUGAUCUUGCCCCUGUCAAAGGGAGUUUCUGUCUUUUUCUUCACCAACAGCCAAAGCUACAUAAACAAGCAAUCAGGAACGCUAAAGUCUUCAAUAAUUCUACAAACUACCCUACUGCGUUGACAAUACCAGAGUAGGUAGAGUAGAACAAGGGAUUCAACAGAGCUCCACAAAAAUCAAAUGUAAGAACAAGGAAGACCCUCAGAGAUCAUAGUACCAGUUCAAAAGAUCAUGACCCAGACGAUGCUCAUGGGCAAUUCAUACAAGUCUUUCCCACGCCACAACCAACAUCAUACUACAGGUAAGAACAAAAUAGACACCAGCAGAACAGAUUUCCAGCAAUUGGAAAGGCAUGCAUAACACAAGGACCAAAACUCAUAUAAAGUUCAGCACUUUGACAAGGAUCCAGCUAUCAGUUGGGCAAAGAAACAAUACCCACAAGCAAGAAUAAAAAGAGAAAGAUGCUAGUGAGAUAAAUCAAACAAUAUGUGCCCUCAGAUCAGUCCAGUUUAUGAAAAAUCACACAUGAGGCCAAACCGCUACCGCCGCCUGCAAAUAGUAAGAGCAACAGCAGCAGUUUACAACAUGGAUCAGAAGUCGGAAUCUGUGAACCGAUAAUAAUAAUAAUAAUAAUAAUAAUAACAAUGAUAAUAACAGCAGCAGCAGCAGCGAUGGCACAUUUGAAGAGAAGAAGAAGAAGAAGCUCAACAGAAGCAUUUCCAUGGAUCUAUCAUCAUCGGGCACAAUUAGUAAGGAGGGUAACUACAAACAGAGGAUUACUUCAGAACUUAGCCUACCAAAAGGAUCCAUUCGCCAUAGCGUAAGUGCCCAGGGAAUGCUGCGAUUGACGAGUGAAGGAUGUGCGAUGGAAGGCGGAACUACAAUUUGGCCCACUUAUUAUUCCCUUCUUCCUUUUUAGCCGUCGGAUCAAAUUCAAAAUCCACAAGAAUCUCGAGCAAAUAUGAUUUGUUCAUGUAGGUUGAGAUAUAUGGAUAUGGUUCGCCGGUCCAAUUCGGAUGGGAUGGUUGGGCUUUAAUCGAAGUUGGCCAACGCAUAACACAACCAGAUGGGGACAAUAUCUUAAUGUAAUAAAAUAACAUUAUCAUGAACAGACAUGUAUCAGAAACCGCCUACUACUUUCUUUUAUUAGCCAUUGAUCGAAUCAUGCACGAAAUCAGUAUAGUAAACAAAUUUUGACCGGAUUCUCAAUUUUAUUUUGACCGGAUUCUCUGAAAUUGUUACCGGCUAUUUUGAACACCUUUUGAAUCACAACCCUCAAACUCUCUGUUUCGUCAAGAACUCCAGUGUAAGUUGUAUGAAAACUUUGUUAACGUCGGUUCGAAUCAACACCAAUCAGUCGGCCUUUCAUAUUUAUGUUUGUUACGUGGGAUUUGGACUGGUUUUCACAUCAUCUCUCUGCAUUUGAUUCUGCAUGUAUAUUUUGUUGUCCCCUGCAUGAAAGUGAGUGCCUUUUUCUGAUUCUGGGUUUCCUUUGUUGCUUCAGAGUUCAGACGCAGUGGUCUACAAUGGGGAGCAAUAAGAGAAAUUGUAAAUCAGUAGAGGAAGUUGAAGGUGAAAAGCAACUCGCCAAUCCCAUCAAGAAGAAGCUGAAGAAGGACAAUAAGUCAAAGGGUAUUGGUAAUGUGGAUGCUACUGCUGUUUCUGUAAACGAUUCAGUCAAACCCAUGGAAAGAAAGAAACUAAGGAAAAAUUUGGACAAGGUGCGUCACCGCGGCCCGGAGAAGAGUGAACACGAGAAACCGAAACCAAUGGAUGUGGAUUCCAAAGUUGGCGAAACCAAGAGGGGACAAAUGGUAGCUUCAUCUAGUAAAGGAGUGCCUGCUUUCCACAUUGACGUUUUCAAGGAGUUGGCAUCCGCUGAUGCUUCUGUAAGAGCAGCUGGUGUUCAAAGACUAGUAACCGAGUUGCAGAAGGUUCAGAAUGCUUAUCAAAGCAAUAAGGAGUUGUAUGAAAGUGGGUUGGAAUUGGAGGCUGAUAAAGAUGAUGGCUUGAAUGAUACUGCACCUUCUGUCAGAUAUGCAAUUAGGAGACUUGUCCGUGGUGCUUCAUCAUCUACGGAGGUAGGCUUCUCUGAAUUACCCUAAUCUUGAUGCAUAUAGCCGAAUAGCAGAAUGACUUGAAUCAGUCUUUUCUUCAAGUUUCUGUACUUUCGAGAAUAGACUGAUUUACGUGUAGGGGUAGAGCACUGAGUUUUACUUGCAGUCAGUUUAACUAAACGUGAUGAACCUUAAGACUUGCGACUGCUUUGCUUGUCUUUUAUAACUAUUACCUUGUGUUGGUAUAUGUAUCUUGUAUCUCUGAAAUUUGUGUCUUUUUUAGUUUGUAUUGAUUUGUUAAAUCUGUUCCCUGUGUGCCAGACAGGGUUAUGCAUUGGGGUUGACUCUGUUGGUUUGUACAAUCUCUUCCAUCAAAGUUGAGUCCAUGCUGAAAUUAAUUAUUGUUAUGCUUAACCAUAGAAAACCCCUGAAAUUUCUUUGUUUGUGCACAGGAAGCAAAGGAUUGUCUUUUAGGUAGAUUAUUUUCAUACGGCGGUCUUGCUCGAUCGGGGAGGUUGAAUGAAUUGUGUAUUUCAGAUCCAAACACUCCAGUUAUCAAGGAGUUUGUCAGUGUACUUCUUACUCUUUCCGCAAAGAAAUCUUAUUUGCCGGAGCCUGUUGUUACAGUUAUCUUGGACUUGGCCGAGGAGGUAAUUUUGCUGCUUACUGAUGCAGGAUGUUGUUUUUCUCUUGCAAUUCUUUCCUGUUUGUUAUUGUUCAUGCGUCAGCUUUAUAGCAUGGUCUACCUAUGAUAUCAAUGUCCUCACCAAUUCUACGUACGGAUACAUUUUAUUUGUACAGUUGCAAGUGGAGCAGAUAUUGAACCAUGUACUCGAAGCUCCUGGACUUUCUGAGUGGUUUAGUGAUGCUGUGGAUGCUGGAAACCCGGAUGCUUUACUUCUAGCUUUGAGACUUUGGGAGAAAGCUUCAGUUGAUAGCUUAAAGUUUGGAAGAGUUCUGCCGUAUCCAUUCAGCCCUGGCAGCUUCUUUUCCUCUGAGCAUUUGAACCUACUUAAUAACUGUUGGAAGGUUGUUCUCUGGAAAUUUUUAUAAUUGAAGUUGUGUGUAACUGAGGGAGGUCUAACGGGUUUCUUUUCUCUUUCUUGUUUUUAAUUGGUGAAUGUGCAGAACUCAACUUCCUGCCAACCUCGAGUGCACAGCGUGUGGCCCGUUCUUGUAAACAUACUUUUGCCUGUAAUAAUUCCGAAGCUGAGGAUGUGAUCUCAGCAUCUAAUUCUCUGAAGAAGAAC